rnacentral:rRNA from 1 species
CGGACGGGUGAGUAACGCGUGAGAAUCUGCUUUCAGGUCGGGGAUAACAGCUGGAAACGGCUGCUAAUACCGGAUGAGCCGAGAGGUAAAAGCAAAAGUGCCUGAAGAUGAGCUCGCGUCUGAUUAGCUAGUUGGUGGGGUAAGAGCCUACCAAGGCGACGAUCAGUAGCUGGUCUGAGAGGAUGAUCAGCCACACUGGGACUGAGACACGGCCCAGACUCCUACGGGAGGCAGCAGUGGGGAAUUUUCCGCAAUGGGCGCAAGCCUGACGGAGCAAUACCGCGUGAGGGAGGAAGGCCCUUGGGUUGUAAACCUCUUUUGUCAGGGAAGAAGGUCUGACGGUACCUGACGAAUCAGCAUCGGCUAACUCCGUGCCAGCAGCCGCGGUAAUACGGAGGAUGCAAGCGUUAUCCGGAUUUAUUGGGCGUAAAGGGUCCGCAGGUGGUUAUUCAAGUCUGCUGUCAAAGCGCGGAGCUUAACUCCGUACAGGCGGUGGAAACUGAGGAACUAGAGUCUGGUAGGGGUCGCGGGAAUUCCCAGUGUAGCGGUGAAAUGCGUAGAUAUUGGGAAGAACACCGGCGGCGAAAGCGCGCGACUGGACCGGAACUGACACUGAGGGACGAAAGCUAGGGGAGCGAAAGGGAUUAGAUACCCCUGUAGUC